CCUACGGGUGGCAGCAGUCGAGAAUCAUUCACAAUGGGGGAAACCCUGAUGGUGCGACGCCGCGUGGGGGAAUGAAGGUCUUCGGAUUGUAAACCCCUGUCAUGUGGGAGCAAAUUAAAAAGAUAGUACCACAAGAGGAAGAGACGGCUAACUCUGUGCCAGCAGCCGCGGUAAUACAGAGGUCUCAAGCGUUGUUCGUAAUCACUGGGCGUAAGGCGUGCGUAGGCUGUUUCGUAAGUCGUGUGUGAAAGGCGCGGGCUCAACCCGCGGACGGCACAUGAUACUGCGAGACUAGAGUAAUGGAGGGGGAACCGGAAUUCUCGGUGUAGCAGUGAAAUGCGUAGAUAUCGAGAGGAACACUCGUGGCGAAGGCGGGUUCCUGGACAUUAACUGACGCUGAGGCACGAAGGCCAGGGGAGCGAAAGGGAUUAGAUACCCUAGUAGUC
rnacentral:rRNA from 1 species